CUCAGUUCUUCAGGGCCGCGGAGGCCGCGACGCGCGCCGCCCCGAGCGGGUUGCGAGCGGUUGGCUGGCGGGGGUCGGAAGGGCCCCGGGCACACUGGGGCGCGUCAGUUCCCCGCCUCCUCCGAGUCUCAGGUCCUCUUCGGGAUGUUUUUCCACCUGCGGCGUUUUUCAGAAACCAGCCGGAGGCAGCCCGGUGUCUCCAACUCCUGACUGGCACCGGGAAGGGAAUUGGUCUCUUUUUUUCCUGCUUGGGUUUAGCUUGCUUAGGAUUCUAAAUUUUUUGUCUGCUUUUUUGAAAUAGUUAUAUUUAAGUUUUAGCUACCUAAAAAAGUAUGAAAGAAUAUUGUGUUUGAAAUCUUUUUAACUUGGUUUUUAAGUCACGUGCUAACUAUCCUACACAGUUGGGACGCUAUGAUUUACCUUCACAUCUCGGAAGUUGUAACCAGUUGUGAGGAAGUUAGGACCUUGGGGUUACCUAAAGAUAAUUUAUAUUAAGUUGUUGGGCCAUAAAAACUGGGCAGAAUUGGCCACGCGCGGUGACUCAACGCCUGUAAUCCCAGCACUUUGGGAGGCCGACGCGGACUAAUCACGAGGAAUGAAUCUGAAGUCUGCUGCAGUAAAACACAGAAGGCUUUAAAAUGUUUUCUUGCAUAAAAUUCAAAACUUUUAAGUAGCUGCUUAUGAGAAUAGGGAAGGCAGAAAGCUAAUGUCUGUCUCAAGAUACAGGACAGCUGUUUGCUCAUCAACCUCAACUGUGUGUGCAACUGAGGAACAUGGCUCAAGAAACUAAUCACAGCCAAGUGCCUAUGCUUUGUUCCACUGGCUGUGGAUUUUAUGGAAACCCUCGUACAAAUGGCAUGUGUUCAGUAUGCUAUAAAGAACAUCUUCAAAGACAGAAUAGUAGUAAUGGUAGAAUAAGCCCACCUGCAACCUCUGUCAGUAGUCUGUCUGAAUCUUUACCAGUUCAAUGCACAGAUGGCAGUGUGCCAGAAGCCCAGUCAGCAUUAGACUCUACAUCUUCAUCUAUGCAGCCCAGCCCUGUAUCAAAUCAGUCACUUUUAUCAGAAUCUGUAGCAUCUUCUCAAUUGGACAGUACAUCUGUGGACAAAGCAGUACCUGAAACAGAAGAUGUGCAGGCUUCAGUAUCAGACACAGCACAGCAGCCAUCUGAAGAGCAAAGCAAGUCUCUUGAAAAACCGAAAC
rnacentral:lncRNA from 1 species